AUGAUGGUGGGCGUGGUGGUAGCAUGCAGCUCGGUGAGCUCCAUCAAAGCACUGUGGGAGACCAGGAUCAGGAGGAGGAGGGAGGAGCAUGAGGAGGAGCACAAGAGGAGGACCACGAGGGGCGGGGCCACAGGCAGACUUGGAGUCGGGCUUUGGGAAGACCGAGCGGCGCUGGCACGGCUAAAGCAGAAGCUGGAGACAGAGGACGGCCGGCUGGUCCUCCGGAUCGAGCAGGAGGAGUGGAAGGUUCUGCCAGGCUGCCUGAUCCAGCUCAGUCAGGUCCAGGAGUGGCAGAUCCACCGGACCGGACUACUGAAGAUCCCUCACUUCAUCUCUAGCUUCCAGAACCUUCUGGUGCUCGAUCUGUCCCGGAACGGAGUCGCUGAGAUCCCCAAACAGAUCGGAAAGCUGACCCGGCUCAGAGAGCUGCUGCUGAGCUACAACAGAAUCCCGUUUGUCCCGGCAGAGCUGAGCGGGUGUGAGAGCCUGGAGAGGCUGGAGCUGGCAAUGAACCGGGACCUAAAUGAGCUACCAGACCAGCUCGGGACGCUGUCGCGGCUGCAGCAUGUUGAUCUUUCCAUGAACGACUUCAGCUGCCUGCCUGCUUGCCUGCUCGCCCUGCCGGCGCUCGAGUGGCUCGACAUGGGAGGAAACUGCCUGCAUCACUUACCUGAAGACAUACACAGAAUGGAGGUGCUACACACUCUGUGGCUGCAGAGGAAUGAGCUGGAGAAGCUUCCGGAGAACAUCGCCAGAAUGAGGAGCCUGGACACGCUGGUGCUCAGCAGCAACAGGCUGAGAGACAUUCCACCGCUCAUGGAGGGCAUGUCCAGCCUCAGGUUUGUGAACUUCCGGGAUAACCCCCUGACUCUGGACGUGACGCUGCCGAGCAGGAAGGCGGUGGCUGAGGAGGAAGAGGAGGAAGAUGACAGGGAGAUGUUCGGGAAAGAGUUCAUGCUCAUGUACAUCCAGGAGGCCCGAAAGAGAGCGUACGCCGUGCUCAACGUGCACUGCGUCAACCGUUAGUACUGAGCAUGCUCACUGACCUGCGUGCGCUAACACGCUAACCUGUGUGUGUGCCAAACAUCUCAUGGGGGCAGUGACCCUCAACGACGUCAACAAACAGGAAGCUAAACCCCAACUGACCCCUCUGACCUCAGAGUCCGAUGGUGAGUCCAAUGACGAAUCCUCAGCAUGAAAUACGGCCCCAUGUCUUUUUUUCUUCUUCUGAGCUUCUCCCUUUUAAAGACACUUCCACAAAGCCAC